rnacentral:misc_RNA from 1 species
GAAGCUUGACAGCGCACACCAUCACACUUGAAUCAAUAAUACACAAAAAGAAAAGAGGAAGGCGGGUUGAAGGGCGGGCAGGUCCUUGCUGCUGCUGCUGCUGCCGCGGCUUCUGCCAGAUUGUGCGCUAGGCCCUCAAAAGCUUGUCCCCUUUCUCGCUCGGUUGCCACGUCGCUCGGCAGCGCGCUGACCUUCAGGCGUUGCGCAGGCACAUGGAAACGCACUCACGUAUCUUUAGUCCCUGAAAUCAUGGUCCCCGCACGGGACAUUAUUCAGUACUUUGCAGAUCGUCACACCGCUGCAGUGGCGACGGCGUUUAUUAUCUACGUACUCGUUAUUGCUUGGUGUGGGAAUACGGGCGCGCGCGAGGUGCAGCAGCGGACCGAGGCCGUCUUUCGACGUCUUCACAGCACCGAUGACGCCACAUCGUCCGCAGGACCGACUUUCUUCACCUCUGCGGUGACGCAGAUCGUGUCCGUGGCUGUUCUUCGACUAACAGACGCCGACGCAGAGCUGCUGCAUGGCGGUACUCUCGAUCGUGUAUCGUCACGGGCCGAGAGAGAGCAGCAGUUGCUCUCCCUCGCAUCUCGCUGGCAGUACUACUUCGCCGUCGGCGAUUUCACCCUCAUCUCGGCUUCGUCGCGCUUGACCGCCAGUGGGAUGCUGAAGGAGUGGAUCGCGACGCUGGGUUCGGUAUACCCAACAUGCGUGUUCGCCUCUCUUGCGGGCGGCGCUGGGUCUGAGGACACAGAGGAUGACAGACAAGUGCUCAUCCUGCCCUCCGCCUGGCAGUCGCACCGACGCGCGUUGAUGGGCGAUCAACACCAGCGGUCUCUACGCGUCCUGCGUGUGCACACGCUCCCGGCUCCGGAGCGACUGCGGGAGAGAGUGGCAGCGGUGGCGGCAGCAAGUAAUGAGGGCGAUGGCGGCGCCAAAGACCCCCUCUUUGUCUUCGUGUCGGAGAACGCGAUUCGCAAGUGGUCUGCUGCCGUGGACGCUGCGGAGCUGAAGCGUCCGCCGACGGAGCGGUGGCGCAGCGGAAAGUCAGGCCUCAAUGCGUGGGAGGAGCUGCUACAGAUAACGUCGAUGCCGCAAGCAGCGCUUCGUGCCGCGGUGGGCGCAGCUGCCGCCCCACCUUCUGUAGUUGAUCCCUUGCCGCCUGACCUCCGUCGUCGUGAGGCGCAGCUGAGCAGGAAGAUGACACAGGAGUCGUUGACAUCGGCGAUGGACGCGGCGCAGUACAUUCCGCGGCUUGCCAUGGACCUCGCUAACACCUACAAGGCGCCAUACGUGAUCGUUGCUUCGUGGUGCUCCUCCGUUGGUACCUACGGCUGGAAUGGAACCGGCACGUCAGGGGCCAGGACUGAGGACCAAGCUCUGGUGCUUGUGCUCUGCUUGCAAGACAACGAGCUCUUGGACAUUGUACCCUCAAGACAGCAUGUUUCGAGACUGCUCCAGCAGUAAUACCACACGCUCGUGUGGCAUAGGAAGCUGUUGUGUGAGUUUAGUGUCGACUGUUGGCCGUUGGCUCGCUCCCCCCUCCCCCGUCUUCGCACCACUGCACGACAUGACAACGAUGCUGCCGCUGCUCCAGCCCUUCCUUCUCUCCACUCACUUUCCAUUCGCCUAGCAAAACAGCAGCAGAGCCGCGCCGUGAGCGAGACGGGUGCGCGGACAUCCUUGACCUCUUUCAUACCCAUGCAUGCUUUCCUUUCUUCACAUGCGCCGUGCCGGCUGCCUUUCUCACGGAUCGGACAGCGGGCAACGGCAGAGGAGAAUGAGAGCGCUUGCCCAUGAUACGUCGUCGCCACCGGCUCCGUUUUUACAAGCAUCACUCCUCCGCCCGUAUGGGGCGCCGCUUGUAUGGUAGGGUUUUG